UAAUUUGUCCAAGAGGAAUUGCCGUACAACUUGUGUUGCAGCGCUAGUUCCGUAUACAGUGAAAUGCAAAUUUUCCCCAAUAACAUCGCGAUGGAGUCCGUUUUCUUGAGGUUCGACUCUUAUGAUUUUGAAGCUGAUCGAAGGUUCCAACAAGGCCUGCAGACAUUACACGCUGGCGUCUCUAGGAAAGAAACGAACAUACUCGAUGCAAAACUCUUCUUUUAUAACAGGUUUGUGGAGCCCAUGGACUCCAUCAGUUACAAAGCGUGGUCCAACUCUGCUUCCAGAGUGUUGCCUCCAUCACGCAGCGACUCUGAAGGACAGACGACCGAAAAGUCUGAAGCGUCACAAGUCAAGUCGCUUUCCUUCGCUGAGGUGAUGCGGCUCGUGCAGGAGGGCAAAGACGUGCCUGGAGUUAGAAAAGUGGACAUACAGGCAAGCAAUCAGAGUGCGACUCCAUCACAAAUGGAAAGAAUACGCAAACCCUGGGAAGUGGCGUCAGUGCCCAGGUAACAAGUCACCCAAUAAGUCACCUUUUCGUUUUUAUUAGAAGCCCUUGUUUCAUAAACAUGUGAAAAAGCAUAUAACCGAUUGUUCUGAAUUUGAAUGGGUUUAAGUUGGACAGGGCUUCAUUUUGAGAAGAGGAACAGGAGCUAAAAGUCAGAUCUUGCAAAAAUGAACAAGAUUUGACGUCUUUGUUGGAAUGGGACAGCAAAUGCUUUGGCCCUGGCCUGUUGCGUUAGUUGCCCACCCUUUUUUGGAUCAUCAUCUUAUGAACUACACCCAAGCAUGGACUCAACAUCUUUUUCAUUGAUCAGCUCAUUGGAAGAGUUUCCCAAGCUCUUGGUGAGCCAGGACAUAUUUGGCAUUAGAGGAGAAUCCCGCGGCGCACCAAGAAACCAGAAUGGAUCGGAAAUGUCUCUUCUCCCUCUGCUCAUGAAUUGGCUUACUUAGUUUGAAAUGAAAUGUCAAAUGUUCAGUCAAACUCGUUUUCUGUUGUGUGAUGUCAAUAGUCAAAACAUUAUACACAUUUGUUGUUUCUUCUCCCAUCCAGUGGAAGAGCAAUGAAUUGUUCCGCCUGUUUAUAAUACUCUACUUCGCUGGCAUAAAUCGAUGAACAAAGGUACAUUUGAAUAUCCAUCCAUCCAUGAUCUGAACUACUUAUCUUCACAAGGGUUGCGGUUGUGCUGAGCCUAUCCCACAUUGAAGCAUAACAGGCGAUUGAAAGGGAUUGAUGCAUUAAAAAAAUACUCCUCAUGUGAUGGGAUUGUUGUUGUUACACAAAUUUCAUUUAUGUGGGCUCAGCUUAACCUUCCGCACAGAUCAAAAGAUGACAAAGUCUGGAACUGUUAGCAUAGCGCUAGAGGUAAAAUGAAUGAAUAAAUCCCGUUUGUAACUAUGAGGCUCGUAUUGAUGCACAACAGGACAAUAAAUGUGUCACAGUAAGUUCUUCUUUAUGAAGGCAGCAACAUUUUGUAAACUUCCAGUCACAGUGGAAUGCUUCAAAUAAAGCAACGAUCAAUCCAGUAACGUGGAGGCACACUAGACGGACUUUCUGACAGUGGGACAGUUCAUACAUUGAAAAAUAUGUCAAAUCAACUCAUACAUCACAAACAUCAAGAUUAAAAGAAACUUAAUAAGUGGAUUUGCACCAAAAAAAUCCAGCACCAGUAUAUUGCAUUUUCAUCAUCAUCAUCAUCAUCAUCAUCACGCUCACAAUAACUAAUACAACAUCCAUGUUGGCUAAUGGCAGUUUGUCU